rnacentral:misc_RNA from 1 species
UAUCUAGCCAAACUAUUGUUUCACAUUGAACAUAAUAUCCCCUAUUAGAUGCUCUAAUCUCUUUGAUGAAUUGCAUCUAACUCAAUGUUGACAAAAACCUCUGCUUGCUCUUCAUAUGCACCAUAUAUUUUCUUUUGAAGGCCUCUCUCCAAUCAAUACUGGUUCUUCCAUCUGAAUUCUCCAGCAAAAGAGUGAACUCCUUAUUUUCACCCUGCCCUCCAUUCUGCUACAAAGUGCAAUGCUUGGCACCAAAAAAUAUAGUAUAGUGGGAGUGCCACAGCUGGUUAUUACUAGCUGCGAAAUUCCAUGA